rnacentral:rRNA from 1 species
UACGUAGGUGGCAAGCGUUGUCCGGAUUUACUGGGUGUAAAGGGCGUGUAGCCGGGCUGACAAGUCAGAUGUGAAAUCCGGGGGCUCAACCCCCGAACUGCAUUUGAAACUGUUGGUCUUGAGUAUCGGAGAGGCAGGCGGAAUUCCUAGUGUAGCGGUGAAAUGCGUAGAUAUUAGGAGGAACACCAGUGGCGAAGGCGGCCUGCUGGACGAUGACUGACGUUGAGGCUCGAAAGCGUGGGGAGCAAACAGG